rnacentral:rRNA from 1 species
AUUGAACGCUGGCGGCAGGCCUAACACAUGCAAGUCGAACGGUAACAGGAAGAAGCUUGCUUCUUUGCUGACGAGUGGCGGACGGGUGAGUAAUGUCUGGGAAACUGCCUGAUGGAGGGGGAUAACUACUGGAAACGGUAGCUAAUACCGCAUAACGUCGCAAGACCAAAGAGGGGGACCUUCGGGCCUCUUGCCAUCGGAUGUGCCCAGAUGGGAUUAGCUAGUAGGUGGGGUAACGGCUCACCUAGGCGACGAUCCCUAGCUGGUCUGAGAGGAUGACCAGCCACACUGGAACUGAGACACGGUCCAGACUCCUACGGGAGGCAGCAGUGGGGAAUAUUGCACAAUGGGCGCAAGCCUGAUGCAGCCAUGCCGCGUGUAUGAAGAAGGCCUUCGGGUUGUAAAGUACUCUCAGCGGGGAGGAAGGGAGUAAAGUUAAUACCUUUACUCAUUGACGUUACCCGCAGAAGAAGCACCGGCUAACUCCGUG